AGUGAACGCUGGCGGUAGGCCUAACACAUGCAAGUCGAACGGCAGCACAGUAAGAGCUUGCUCUUACGGGUGGCGAGUGGCGGACGGGUGAGGAAUACAUCGGAAUCUACUUUUUCGUGGGGGAUAACGUAGGGAAACUUACGCUAAUACCGCAUACGACCUACGGGUGAAAGCAGGGGAUCUUCGGACCUUGCGCGAUUGAAUGAGCCGAUGUCGGAUUAGCUAGUUGGCGGGGUAAAGGCCCACCAAGGCGACGAUCCGUAGCUGGUCUGAGAGGAUGAUCGGCGACACUGGAACUGAGACGCGGUCCAGGCUCCUACGGGAGGGCGCAGUGGGGAAUAUUGGACAAUGGGGGCAAGCCUGAUCCAGCCAUACCGAGUGGGUGAAGAAGGCCUUCGGGUUGUAAAGCCCUUUUGUUGGGAAAGAAAAGCAGCAGGUUAAUACCCCGCUGUUCUGACGGUACCCAAAGAAUAAGCACCGGCUAACUUCGUG
rnacentral:rRNA from 1 species